CACCUCUAGCAUUUCUAGUAUUAGAGGCACUGCCUGCCCAGUGACAUCUGUUUAAACGGCCGCGGUAUCCUAACCGUGCAAAGGUAGCAUAAUCACUUGUUCCCUAAAUAGGGACUUGUAUGAACGGCCACACGAGGGUUUUACUGUCUCUUACUUCCAAUCAGUGAAAUGGACCUUCCCAUGAAGAGGCGGGAAUAACCAAAUAAGACGAGAAGACCCUAUGGAGCUUUAAUUAACUGACUCACAAAAAAUAAUAUACAAACCUAACCUUCAGGGACAACAAAACUUUUGAUUGAAUCAGCAAUUUCGGUUGGGGUGACCUCGGAGAACAAAACAACCUCCGAGUGAUUUAAAUCCAGACUAACCAGUCAAAAUAUAUAAUCACUUAUUGAUCCAAACCAUUGAUCAACGGAACAAGUUACCCUAGGGAUAACAGCGCAAUCCUAUUCCAGAGUCCAUAUCGACAAUUAGGGUUUACGACCUCGAUGUUGGAUCAAGACAUCCUAAUGGUGCAACCGCUAUUAAGGGUUCGUUUGUUCAACGAUUAAAGUCUU
rnacentral:rRNA from 1 species